rnacentral:rRNA from 1 species
CCUACGGGGGGCUGCAGUAAGGAAUAUUGGUCAAUGGACGCAAGUCUGAACCAGCCAUGCCGCGUGAAGGAUUAAGGUCCUCUGGAUUGUAAACUUCUUUUAUAUGGGACGAAAAAAGGGUAUUCUUACCCGUCUGACGGUACCAUAUGAAUAAGCACCGGCUAACUCCGUGCCAGCAGCCGCGGUAAUACGGAGGGUGCCGGCGUUAUCCGGAUUAACUGGGUCGUAGGGGUGCAGGUACGGCCAGGUAGAAAUCCUAGAGCUUAACUCUAGAACUGCCAUUGAUACUAUCUGUCUUGAAUAUUGUGGAGGUAAGCGGAAUAUGUCAUGUAGCGGUGAAAUGCUUAGAUAUGACAUAGAACACCUAUUGCGAAGGCAGCUUACUACGCAUAUAUUGACGCUGAGGCACGAAAGCGUGGGGAUCAAACAGGAUUAGAUACCCUAGUAGUC